GAGAAUACGGUUGUCUGACUCCUUCCUGGGAACACAACAGUUGUCAGGAUAUCACUCUCUGCUCUUUGGCACCUCUGCAGAGACCCUGGAGGCCAGGGGGGCCAGACUGAAAGCCAGCAAUUCAAAAGGAAACAUGUUGGACAGUCAAUAUUUGUUUGAGGAUGAUUGGAAAACAGGAUGA